ensembl:lncRNA
CAGCCCUCAUCACUCCGCAGUCUGCCCCCCCAGCCCACUGAUAGCAACCAUCAUAAUGCCCCACCCAGCUUCCGGCACCUUUCGCCACUCCGGCACAAGCCGACACAGCUUUGCGAUCUCGCCAGCAUGCAGAGUCUGAUGUCUUCCCUAUAGAUGAUUCCAGAGACUCUGUGAGGCCACUAUUACAAGGAGCUGGCCUCUGUACUCAACUGGGCAGGGGAAAAAAAACCAAGGACCAGACAAAGCAAAAAAGGGCAUUUAAAGAGACAGCGCUGUGCAGAUGCAUAUUUGAUGGCCUGGCGCAGCAGGUAGGGGCGAACUCUAUGUCUGAGUUGGUCUUUGCUCAAGCAGUCCAGAAAUGGCUCAGAUAUGAUCCAGAUCGUACGGGUGGCGCGCAGGACGCACAUCAUCCAUCCCCAUCCCGGAGUAAAUAAUAAAAAGUGACGUGAAACAUAGAAAUGUA